ensembl:lncRNA
AAAGUAUCACAUGUUCUGAAAAAAUAUUAAGCAGCAGAACUGUUUCCAACUUUGAUAAUGAAUCAUCAUAUUAGAAUGAUUUCUAAAGGAUCAUGUGAUAAUGAUCCUAAAAAUUCAGCUUUGCAUCACAGAAAUAAAUGAUAAUUUAAAGUAUAAUAAAUUUAAAAACAAUUAUUUUAAAUUGUAAUAAUAUAUCACAAUAUUACAUUUUUUUUCUGUAUUGAUCAAAUAAAUGCAGGCUUGAUGAGCAGAAGAAACUUCUUUCAAAAACAUUAAAAAUAGUAAUGUUUCCAAAUGUUUCCAAACUUUUGACCUGUACUGUAUAUAUAUAUAUAUAUAUAUAUAUACAUAUACUUAUACAUAUACAUAUACAUAUACUUAUACAUAUACUUAUACAUAUACUUAUAUAAAUAAAUACAUAUGCAUAUAUACAUACAUAUAUUCAUUUUCAGUUUGUAUCCAUGUAUUCAGUCUCUCUUUAUUUAAGUACAGAAAAGAGUGAAAACACAAUGGCACAUGUCAAUCAUGUGCCUGUAUGUGUCACUCAUUCUAGGCAUGCUGUAAUUAUAUGAGAAAAGCUUUUCAUAAAGUUAUUCUUCCACAUGUCAGUCAGCUUGCACUGCCAGACGGCUGUGGAACGGGUCUCUCAACAACAAAUGAAACAAAAUGAAACAGACAAAUUGCUGUGAGCCUGAACUGCAAAAAGAUGAAGCUGUAUUGUUUCCGGAGUGCAUUGACAGGCUUUAUUGCAGUGAAGUUUUUUGCGAUUGGCAUCAUCUCACAUGUGUGAGCGCCAGUGCUCUCCUCCUCUUAAUGAGAGUGGAUGUUGAUGGCCGUUAUCAAGUCCUUCCGUUCGCCUCCCCACGGCGUGCUCUUCACAGGGGACCGCAGCGUUCAACCCCUCAAGUAUCUAUCUGCUCUGCGUCACCGCCAAAUCACCAUGGCGAUAGUGGCGCUCAGGGCCCUGAAUGAGGCACCGGCUCUGUUUGAGACGUCUGCAGAGCCACAAAGACAGGAUCAUUUGUACAGCGAAGAGGCCGUGGAACAAUACAGGGAAAUUAGACAUCAAAAAAAAACCUUCAAUUUAAAAUUCUGAUGCAUUCUUCUAAAUAACGAGAGUGCUGUUUUUGAUGCUGAUGAACAGAGGCUUUAUCAAACCAUAUAGUGCUCUGAUGGUGAAGGACAUCUAAAUCUGGUGAAGUCUUCAAUUAAGAGACGUCUCUCUCAUCCUGCUUAUGUGCGACUGGAAAUGGAAUGUUUUGUCUUUUUCCACCUUUUUGCCAUGGAAACACUUCAGCAGCUAUUGAUU